rnacentral:rRNA from 1 species
GAUGAACGCUGGCGGUGUGCCUAACACAUGCAAGUCGAGCGAACAGAUGAGGAGCUUGUUCUCUUGACGUUAGCGGCGGACGGGCGAGUAACACGUGGAUCACAUUCUUCUUAGACUGGGAUAAUUUCGGGAAACAGCAGACACUAAUGCCUAAUACAUUCUACCGCUUGGUUCAAUAGUGAUUGACGCCUUUGCCGAUACUUAUAGAUGGUUUCGCGCCGCAUUAGCUAGUUGGUAAGGUAACGGCCUACCAAGGCAACGAUGCGUAGCUGAGCUGAGAGGAUGAUCAGCCACACUGGAACUGAGACACGGUCCAGACUCCUACGGGAGGCAGCAGUGGGGAAUAUUCCACAAUGGGCGAAAGCCUGACGCAGCAACACCGCGUGAGUGAAGAAGGUCUUCGGGUCGUAAAGCUCUGUUGUUGGGAAAGAAAAGCAGUAGGUGAAUCUAUGGAUGUCUUGACGGUACCUAAAGAGAAAGCCACGGCUAACUUCGUG